rnacentral:rRNA from 1 species
GGCUAAACCAUGCACCGAAGCUGCGGCAGCGACACUCAGGUGUUGUUGGGUAGGGGAGCGUUCUGUAAGCCUGCGAAGGUGGCCUGUGAGGGUUGCUGGAGGUAUCAGAAGUGCGAAUGCUGACAUAAGUAACGAUAAAGCGGGUGAAAAGCCCGCUCGCCGGAAGACCAAGGGUUCCUGUCCAACGUUAAUCGGGGCAGGGUGAGUCGACCCCUAAGGCGAGGCCGAAAGGCGUAGUCGAUGGGAAACGGGUUAAUAUUCCCGUACUUGGUGUUACUGCGAAGGGGGGACGGAGAAGGCUAUGUUGGCCGGGCGACGGUUGUCCCGGUUUAAGCGUGUAGGUGUGUGUUCCAGGUAAAUCCGGUUCACUUUAACACUGAGGCGUGACGACGAGGCACUACGGUGCUGAAGCAACAAAUGCCCUGCUUCCAGGAAAAGCCUCUAAGCAUCAGGUAACAUCAAAUCGUACCCCAAACCGACACAGGUGGUCAGGUAGAGAAUACCAAGGCGCUUGAGAGAACUCGGGUGAAGGAACUAGGCAAAAUGGUGCCGUAACUUCGGGAGAAGGCACGCUGACAUGUAGGUGAAGUGAUUUACUCAUGGAGCUGAAGUCAGUCGAAGAUACCAGCUGGCUGCAACUGUUUAUUAAAAACACAGCACUGUGCAAACACGAAAGUGGACGUAUACGGUGUGACGCCUGCCCGGUGCCGGAAGGUUAAUUGAUGGGGUCAGCGCAAGCGAAGCUCCUGAUCGAAGCCCCGGUAAACGGCGGCCGUAACUAUAACGGUCCUAAGGUAGCGAAAUUCCUUGUCGGGUAAGUUCCGACCUGCACGAAUGGCGUAAUGAUGGCCAGGCUGUCUCCACCCGAGACUCAGUGAAAUUGAACUCGCUGUGAAGAUGCAGUGUACCCGCGGCAAGACGGAAAGACCCCGUGAACCUUUACUAUAGCUUGACACUGAACAUUGAGCCUUGAUGUGUAGGAUAGGUGGGAGGCUUUGAAGUGUGGACGCCAGUCUGCAUGGAGCCGACCUUGAAAUACCACCCUUUAAUGUUUGAUGUUCUAACGUGGACCCGUGAUCCGGGUUGCGGACAGUGUCUGGUGGGUAGUUUGACUGGGGCGGUCUCCUCCUAAAGAGUAACGGAGGAGCACGAAGGUUGGCUAAUCCUGGUCGGACAUCAGGAGGUUAGUGCAAUGGCAUAAGCCAGCUUGACUGCGAGCGUGACGGCGCGAGCAGGUGCGAAAGCAGGUCAUAGUGAUCCGGUGGUUCUGAAUGGAAGGGCCAUCGCUCAACGGAUAAAAGGUACUCCGGGGAUAACAGGCUGAUACCGCCCAAGAGUUCAUAUCGACGGCGGUGUUUGGCACCUCGAUGUCGGCUCAUCACAUCCUGGGGCUGAAGUAGGUCCCAAGGGUAUGGCUGUUCGCCAUUUAAAGUGGUACGCGAGCUGGGUUUAGAACGUCGUGAGACAGUUCGGUCCCUAUCUGCCGUGGGCGCUGGAGAACUGAGGGGGGCUGCUCCUAGUACGAGAGGACCGGAGUGGACGCAUCACUGGUGUUCGGGUUGUCAUGCCAAUGGCACUGCCCGGUAGCUAAAUGCGGAAGAGAUAAGUGCUGAAAGCAUCUAAGCACGAAACUUGCCCCGAGA